GAUCCUGGCUCGGAUUGAACGCUGGCGGCAGGCUUAACACAUGCAAGUCGAACGGUAACAUAAAGAAGCUUGCUUCUUUGAUGACGAGUGGCGGACGGGUGAGUAAUGCUUGGGAAUCUAGCUUAUGGAGGGGGAUAACUACGGGAAACUGUAGCUAAUACCGCGUAGAAUCGAGAGAUGAAAGUGUGGGACCUUCGGGCCACAUGCCAUAGGAUGAGCCCAAGUGGGAUUAGGUAGUUGGUG
rnacentral:rRNA from 1 species